UACCCAAUACAAAUAUUAAACUCUUUUUCUGAAAUAAGUAAUAAAUGAGUGAACAAAGAAAAAAAAAAUGAGGGGGAAUCUUUGAAAGUCGAUGAGGGAAAACAAAUAAAUAAGGGAAAAGUUAGAAAAUAAUGUGAUUGGUCUAUGUCAAAAAACAUGGAUAACUCCUUCUCAUCUCCUAUUGGUUAAUAUAAUGGUGGAAGGAUCACAAUCUAAACCGUUGAUUAGAUUGAAUCUAAUGGUCCAGAUUAAUAUUUUGUGUUUCUUCCUCCCUCAUCUUUCUUCUCUGUCUCUUUCUCUCUCACACGAUUCCAAGUCUCUUCUCUUCUCCUUACUUCCAUAUCUUCUCUGUCUAUUCCUUCUCUUGACCUGUCUUCUUGCUCGACGCCACCUGCAGGGCUUCUCGGCGGAGUGGUAGAAGAGGUAGAAGAGAUUGAUGGAGGAGGACAGGUGGUGGUGGCUCGUAACUCAUGAGCAGAACCGGCUUGAAGGUUGAAGAAGAAGCUACGGUGAGACAGCAGAAGCGUGACGGCGGAGGAGGCGUGACGCGUCCCUUCAUCGGUAACAUCUGUGGCUCCAGCAACGAAUCGAUUUGCCACUUCUGGCGUAGUAUCCUGAGGCAAUGGAGGUGUCCGUGGUGAAGCCGGUGGCGGAACCGGUGGUGGAGUGACUGGAGUCGGUGGUUGAGCCAGUGUAUAUAUUUGUGUGUAUAUAAAUGUAAUAUAUAUAUCUAUAUUCAUAAUUUGUAUUUUUAUCAAUUAAAUUAAUAAAAUUAUUAUUUUAUUUUUUA